CCUACGGGUGGCAGCAGUCGAGAAUCAUUCACAAUGGUGGAAACCCUGAUGGUGCGACGCCGCGUGGGGGACUGAAGGUCUUCGGUUUGUAAACCCCUGUCAUGUGGGAGCAAAUUAAUAAGAUAGUACCACAAGAGGAAGAGACGGCUAACUCGGUGCCAGCAGCCGCGGUAAUACAGAGGUCUCAAGCGUUGUUCGGAAGCACUGGGCGUAAAGCGUGCGUCGGCUGUUUCGUAAGUCGUGUGUGAAAGGCGAGGGCUCAACCCGCGGACGGCACAUGAUAUUGCGAGACUAGAGUAAUGGAGGGGGAAGCAGAAUUCUCGGUGUAGCAGUGAAAUGCGUAGAUAUCGAGAGGAACACUCGUGGCGAAGGCGGGUUCCUGGACAUUAACUGACGCUGAGGCACGAAGGCCAGGGGAGCGAAAGGGAUUAGAUACCCUUGUAGUC
rnacentral:rRNA from 1 species